CAGUAUCUUGAACCAGUAAAACUUCUGGGAUGUGAAAGAAAAAUAUCCCUGCGCUUUCUGUCUGUCUUUGUGGCGGCCCAGAUUCAAUAAGGGACUAUAUCU
ensembl:snoRNA